AUUGAACGCUGGCGGCAGGCCUAACCCAUGCAAGUCGAGCGGAGCGGCGGACGGGAGCGUAAUGCCUAGGAAUCCGCCUGGUAGUGGGGGAUAACGUCCGGAAAAGGGCGCUAAUACCGCAUACUAUCAGAUGAGCCUUGGUCGGAUUAGCUGGUUGGUGGGGUAAAGGCUUACCCGGGCGACGAUCCGUAACUUGUCUGUGAGGAUGAUCAGUCACACUGGAACUGAGACACGGUCCAAACUCCUACGGGAGGCAGCAGUGGGGAAUAUUGGACAAUGGGCGAAAGCCUGAUCCAGCCAUGCCGCGUGUGGGAAGAAGGUCUUCGGAUUGUAAAGCACUUUAAGUUGGGAGGCGUUACCAAAAGAAUAAGCACCGGCUAACUUCGUGCCAGCCGCCGCGGUAAUAG
rnacentral:rRNA from 1 species